rnacentral:piRNA from 1 species
AUUGUGGGUUGCUCUGUGCAUAAGGGC